GAUGAAGAACGUAGCGUAAUGCGAUAAGUAAUGUGAAUUGCAGAAUUCAGUGAAUCAUCGAAUCUUUGAACGCACAUUGCGCCCGCCAGUAUUCUGGCGGGCAUGCCUGUCUGAGCGUCAUUUCAACCCUCAUGCCCCUAGGGCGUGGUGUUGGGGAUCGGCCAAAGCCCGCGAGGGACGGCCGGCCCCUAAAUCUAGUGGCGGACCCGUCGUGGCCUCCUCUGCGAAGUAGUGAUAUUCCGCAUCGGAGAGCGAUGAGCCCCUGCCGUUAAACCCCCAACUUUCCAAGGUUGACCUCAGAUCAGGUAGGAAUACCCGCUGAACUUAAGCAUAUCAAUAAGCGGAGGA
rnacentral:misc_RNA from 1 species